GCCUUCGUAGUGUAGUAGUCAGCACGCUCGACGCGUAACCGAUAUUUCCGUGGUUCAAUUCCCGGUGAAGGCG
rnacentral:tRNA from 1 species